rnacentral:siRNA from 1 species
CAGCUUUUUCUGUCGUUUUGA